GAUUAAGCCAUGCCUGUGUAAGUAUAAACAAAUUCAAUCUGUGAACCUACGAAUGGCUCAUUCAAUCAGUUAUAGUUUGUUUGAUGGUAUCUACUACUCGGAUAACCAUAGUAAUUCUUGAGCUAAUACGUAGAACAAACCACGACAUGUGGAAGGGAUGCAUUUAGUAGAUAAAAGGUCGACGUGGGCUCUGCCAAUUAUUGUGAUGAUUCGUGAUAACUCGACGGAUCGUAUGGCCAUCGUGCCGGCGAUGCAUCAAUCACAUUUCUACCUUAUCAACCUGAAAUCCAAUUAUUUCUAACUUUUCAAAUAUGAAGUUUAUCGAUUGCUUGCAUCCUUGGAAUGAAAAAAACACCAAGUGUUGAAAUAUAAGUACGGAGAAUAACAUGGUGC
rnacentral:ncRNA from 1 species